rnacentral:rRNA from 1 species
GACGAACGCUGGCGGCGUGCCUAAUACAUGCAAGUAGAACGCUGAAGGAGGAGCUUGCUUCUCUGGAUGAGUUGCGAACGGGUGAGUAACGCGUAGGUAACCUGCCUGGUAGCGGGGGAUAACUAUUGGAAACGAUAGCUAAUACCGCAUAAUAUUGACUAUUGCAUGAUAGUCAGUUGAAAGGUGCAACUGCACCACUACCAGAUGGACCUGCGUUGUAUUAGCUAGUUGGUGGGGUAACGGCUCACCAAGGCGACGAUACAUAGCCGACCUGAGAGGGUGAUCGGCCACACUGGGACUGAGACACGGCCCAGACUCCUACGGGAGGCAGCAGUAGGGAAUCUUCGGCAAUGGACGGAAGUCUGACCGAGCAACGCCGCGUGAGUGAAGAAGGGUUUCGGAUCGUAAAGCUCUGUUGUAAGAGAAGAACGAGUGUGAGAGUGGAAAGCUCACACUGUGACGGUAGCUUACCAGAAAGGGACGGCUAACUACGUG